CUAUUAUGAUGAGAAUCCUUUCUAUCCAGUUCUGCUACUGAAUUAUCAUGUUGACCCUCACAUACCAUACCAAGAUCUCUGAAAC
rfam:Villosiclava virens strain TV-8b Sca_29, whole genome shotgun sequence.